rnacentral:rRNA from 1 species
UGGGGAAUAUUGGACAAUGGGGGCAACCCUGAUCCAGCCAUGCCGCGUGUGUGAAGAAGGCCUUUUGGUUGUAAAGCACUUUAAGCAGUGAAGAAGACUCCAUGGUUAAUACCCAUGGACGAUGACAUUAGCUGCAGAAUAAGCACCGGCUAACUCUGUGCCAGCAGCCGCGGUAAUACAGAGGGUGCAAGCGUUAAUCGGAAUUACUGGGCGUAAAGCGAGCGUAGGUGGCUUGAUAAGUCAUAUGUGAAAGCCCCGGGCUUAACCUGGGAACGGCAUCUGAUACUGUUAGGCUAGAGUAGGUGAGAGGAAGGUAGAAUUCCAGGUGUAGCGGUGAAAUGCGUAGAGAUCUGGAGGAAUACCGAUGGCGAAGGCAGCCUUCUGGCAUCAUACUGACACUGAGGUUCGAAAGCGUGGGUAGCAAACA